CAUGCUCCUCACCCCUCAGCGAGGGAGGGUGUCACCCAUGAACAGUGCCACCCCUCGGAGUGGGAGUAGUGUUGUCACUAUUAAAUGUGACACUUCAUCAAUGAUUCUUUUCACUUUCACAGCUGAAGAAGCACGCAUCACUUAAGGCUUGCAUCUUUCCUCUACCUCUAUACUCCAAGUUCCUGGCUGGCACUGGAGUUACAUCCUUAGCAUGGGCAUCAUAACCUCCAGGUGAGAUCCAGGCUUGUUUCCGGAAGGAACCCUAACAGAAAUUCAGAAGCACGGGAGCUGCAUUCAAUUAGGACGUGGAUACAUGAAAUGCUCGUCUCACGACCUUCUAGAAGAAUGAGCUGGGACCCAUGUUCCGAGUCCUGCUGGAACCAGAGGCCAAGGUAAGGGCACAAACUGUCCCACACAUCAUACAUGCUUUUUAAAAAAUUUCAUGGUUAUUUUUCCAACCUAGUGAAGUGAUUGAACACUACAGAAAACCUGGUAGGUAAGUCUCAUUAACCUUAUGUUAUCUUUUAAUUUAAAUUCCAGUGAGUGAAGACACAGUGUAAUAUUAAUUUCAGGCGUCCAAUAUAGAGCAACCCUUCCACACGUCACCCGGUCUCAUCCCAGGUGCACUUCUUAAUCCCCAUCAGCUGUUUCACCCAUUCCCUCACCUCGCUGUGGAAGCCCU